CCUACGGGAGGCAGCAGUGGGGAAUUUCGCACAAUGGGCGAAAGCCUGAUGCAGCAACGCCGCGUGUGUGAUGAAGGUCUUCGGAUCGUAAAGCACUUUCGACCGGGACGAACAACCUCUGGCUAACAGUCAGGGGCCUGACGGUACCGGGAGAAGAAGCACCGGCUAACUCUGUGCCAGCAGCCGCGGUAAU
rnacentral:rRNA from 1 species